GACGAGCCACACAAACGUUAUUCGGAAUUACUGGGCUUAAAGGGUGCGUAGGCGGUGCGGAAAGUCGGGUGUGAAAUCCCUCAGCUUAACUGAGGAACUGCGCCCGAUACUACCGUGCUAGAGGGAGAUAGAGGAAUGCGGAACUUAGGGUGGAGCGGUGAAAUGCGUUGAUAUCCUAGGGAACACCGGUGGCGAAAGCGGCAUUCUGGAUCUCUUCUGACGCUGAGGCACGAAAGCUAGGGUAGCAAAC
rnacentral:rRNA from 1 species